UUGCCGGUGACCUUGCCGGCCAGCCAGACGAUGCGCACGCCCAGCGGUUCCAGCCAGCCACGCAGAUUGGUGAGGUGCUGCUCGGCCAGCAGCUCGGUCGGCGCGGCCAGUGCGACCUGCUUGCCCUGCUCCACCGCCAGCAUCGCCGCCAAUGCCGCAACCACGGUCUUGCCGCUGCCGACAUCGCCCUGCACCAGCCGCAGCAUCGGCGA
rnacentral:ncRNA from 2 species